UGGUAUUGAUGUUGUAAUCUGAG
rnacentral:piRNA from 1 species